rnacentral:rRNA from 1 species
GACGAACGCUGGCGGCGUGCUUAACACAUGCAAGUCGAACGGAAAGGCCCUGCUUGCAGGGUGCUCGAGUGGCGAACGGGUGAGUAACACGUGGGUGAUCUGCCCCUUACUUUGGGAUAAGCCUGGGAAACUGGGUCUAAUACUGGAUAGGACCAUGCUGUAGGUGGUGUGGUGGAAAGAUUAGUUUCGGUAAGGGAUGAGCUCGCGGCCUAUCAGCUUGUUGGUGGGGUAAUGGCCUACCAAGGCGUCGACGGGUAGCCGGCCUGAGAGGGUGGACGGCCACAUUGGGACUGAGAUACGGCCCAGACUCCUACGGGAGGCAGCAGAGGGGAAUAUUGCACAAUGGGCGCAAGCCUGAUGCAGCGACGCCGCGUGGGGGAUGACGGCCUUCGGGUUGUAAACUCCUUUCAGCCAUGACGAAGCCCUUGUGGUGACGGUAGUGGUAGAAGAAGCACCGGCUAACUACGUG